CAUUAUACUUAAUUCUCUUACUCAUUCUCCUAAUCAAAUCAUUCUAAUCAAUUAAUUAAACAAAAAAAAAAUGACAGACGAAGGCACAGCAACAUUCAUAGAUAUCAUAUUAGCCAUAUUUUUGCCUCCUCUUGGUGUUUUCCUCAAGUAUGGGUGUAAGGUAGAGUUUUGGAUCUGCGUGUUGCUGACAUUAUUGGGAUACAUCCCUGGGA